CCGCGAGGCUAAGACCCAAAGGAAUUGACGGGGGCUUACACAAGCGGUGGAGCAUGUGGUUUAAUUCGAAACAACGCGCAAAACCUUACCAAUCCUUGACAUAUGAAAAACCAGGGUGUUUACCCGCUCUGUCUCUUUUAUACAGGUGCUGCAUGGCUGUCGUCAGUUCGUGGUGUGAGCUGUUGGGUUAAGUCCCAGAACGAACGCAACCCUCCUUUGUAAUGAAGGUUUACCUUUUUCAAAGACUGCCAAGGAUAUCUUGGAGGAAGGUGAGGAUGACGUCAAGUCCGCAUGGCCCUUAUGGGUUGGGCUACACACGUGCUACAAUGGGAAUGACAAAAGGAGGCAACAUGGCAACAUUGAGCAAAUCCCAAAAAGUUUCCUUAGUUCGGAUUGUUCUCUGCAACUCGAGAACAUGAAGUUGGAAUCGCUAGUAAUCGUAGAUCAGCAUGCUACGGUGAAUUUGUAUCUAAGCCUUGUACACACCGCCCGUCACACUCUGAAAAUUUUCAUGCCUUGAAGCAAAAGAAGUUCACCAAGAACACACAGCGCAAUUAAAAAAAAACAUCUUCCCUUUUUUUUUCUGUGUCUUUGUUGGAACCUUUUCUAGAGUUAGGGAGGUGAUUGGAGUG
rnacentral:rRNA from 1 species